AUUGAACGCUGGCGGCAGGCCUAACACAUGCAAGUCGAGCGGAUGAAGGGAGCUUGCUCCUGGAUUCAGCGGCGGACGGGUGAGUAAUGCCUAGGAAUCUGCCUGGUAGUGGGGGAUAACGUCCGGAAACGUGCGCUAAUACCGCAUACGUCCCGAGGGAGAAAGUGGGGGAUCUUCGGACCUCACGCUAUCAGAUGAGCCUAGGUCGGAUUAGCUAGUUGGUGGGGUAAAGGCCUACCAAGGCGACGAUCCGUAACUGGUCUGAGAGGAUGAUCAGUCACACUGGAACUGAGACAAGGUCCAGACUCAUACGGGAGGCAGAAGUGGGGAAUAUUGGACAAUGGGCGAAAGCCUGAUCCAGCCAUGCCGCGUGUGUGAAGAAGGUCUUCGGAUUGUAAAGCACUUUAAGUUGGGAGGAAGGGCAGUAAGUUAAUAACUUGCUGUUUUGACGUUACCAACAGAAUAAGCACCGGCUAACUUCGUG
rnacentral:rRNA from 1 species